AACAAUGUACCUCACACAGCAUGAAGCAACUCUAGAUCCUGGGAAGCAGGGACUUUGAAAAAGAUUUUGGGGUUGUGGUGGAAAAUCAGCUGAAUGGGAGCUUCCAGUAUGAUGCUCUGGCCAAAGGAGCUAAUGUAAUCCU